rnacentral:lncRNA from 1 species
AUUUUUGGUAUGAAUGGUUAUUUUUCUCUAUGAUCCCGAAAAGUAUUAUCGCUACAUAAAAUGCAUAUAUUAUACACUUAUUUUAUUAUAUAAAGUACUGGUAGUCAUUCGUUAGAGCUAUAUGUAAAUCACUUUAGAAAGUACACACAUUCCGAUCGAUACUUUGAGGUGUAUUCGAUAAGACUUUGUUAUGAGUAGAUUUUAAAUACC